rnacentral:lncRNA from 1 species
UGGAGAAGAGACUGAUCAGUGAUAGCAUAGUCCUGAUUUCCACUUCAUAGAUCUAAUCUGUGUACUAGAACGAUUUAGACUUAUUCCUUGAAUAAUCUUUUUCCUUUCAUCAUUGUUGACAUGGUGAUGAUGUCCAAAAGACUCCUAAAUUUUAAUACUUCAAAAGAAUAGUUUCAGUCUCAGAAGUUUCUGCUAGGAACUUACAGAUUUCCUUAAGGGCGUUGUCUCAUUUUUAAAAGGAAGGGGAGGGGUCAAUUUCCCUACUUAUGUCUUAGGCUGGCCAUGUACUGUGUGGGUAUUGUGUACUCUUAAGACCUUAACAGCUUAACGGUUUUUCAUUUUUAUCUUCUGAGUA